UACAGAGGGGGCAAGCGUUGUUCGGAAUUACUGGGCGUAAAGGGCGCGUAGGCGGCCUUCUAAGUCGAACGUGAAAUCCCCGGGCUCAACCCGGGAACUGCGUCCGAGACUGGAAGGCUCGAAUCCGGGAGAGGGAUGUGGAAUUCCAGGUGUAGCGGUGAAAUGCGUAGAUAUCAGGAAGAACACCCGUGGCUAAGGCGGCUCUCUAGUACGGUACUGACGCUGAGACGCGAAAGCGUGGGGAGCGAACAGGG
rnacentral:rRNA from 1 species